rnacentral:rRNA from 1 species
UUGUACACACCGCCCGUCGCUACUACCGAUUGAAUGAUUUAGUGAGGUCUUCGGACUGGUGCGCGGCAAUGUUUCGGCAUUGCCGAUGUUGCCGGGAAGAUGACCAAACUUGAUCAUUUAGAGGAAGUAAAAGUCGUAACAAGGUUUCCGUAGGUGAACCUGCGGAAGGAUCAUUA